rnacentral:rRNA from 1 species
UACGGGGGGAGCAAGCGUUGUUCGGAUUUACUGGGCGUAAAGGGCGCGUAGGCGGCCUGUUAAGUCGAACGUGAAAUCCCCGGGCUCAACCCGGGAACUGCGUCCGAUACUGGCAGGCUUGAAUCCGGGAGAGGGAUGCGGAAUUCCAGGUGUAGCGGUGAAAUGCGUAGAUAUCGGUAGGAACACCAGUGGCGAAGGCGGUCUCCUGGGGUCAUCUUGACGCUGAGGCGCGAAAGCUGGGGGAGCGAACGGG